GAAAGCAUUAUUAAAGUACUCUGGGGAGAAAUGUAGCAUAUUAAAGCAAAUCACAAGGCCUAAAAUCGAUAUAUUCACAUUGAACUACUAUUUUGUGUAUAUGUGGAUUGACUGUAUAUGUUAAAGUAAAAAUGGAAACAUAAAAAAGCGUCAUUGUUCCAUGCACUAAUCCAGAUAGCAUAGGAGGCAAAUGAAAAAUAGCAAAUGAAAAAUUGGCGAAUCUACUUCUUUAUAAUCUGUGUUUUGGUUUGUACAUUCUUCAGGUAGUAAAGUGGUAGAAAUUAUCUGUUUCUAACAAAUUGUGAAGCUGAUCAGGAUAUUAAUAAAAUAACCUUUAAUAAAAGAAGUAAUAAAGUACCAGAAAACACUGAAAGAAUGCCAGGUUGUUUUGGGUGAGUGGUAUUAAAAAAGAGGGGGUAUGAUAAAUGUAGAAGUACUUUGACAAAUCUUCACAUGUUUUAACAGGGAAUAUUUUCUCAGUCAAGACCUGAGUGAGAGACCACCCAGAUGUGUCAUUUUAAUACAGGAUUUUAUUAAAUCCUUAAUUGCCAGCCAGUUGCCCUUUCAGUAGUCCAUGAAAGAUGUUAUAAAAGACUCCUUCUCCUCAAGUCCUCCACUCAACAGAAGUUACACACUUUUGGGCAUCCAGUGAUAGCUUUUGCAGCUGAACUGAGUUCACGGGAACAGAGAAGAGAAACUUUAGCUGAUGAUCAUUGAUGAAACUGUAGAAAGCAGUAGGCUUAGACAAAUCCAUUUGGA